CAGUAGCACGGUAAUACGUAGGGUGCAAGCGUUAAUCGGAAUUACUGGGCGUAAAGCGUGCGCAGGCGGUUAUAUAAGACAGAUGUGAAAUCCCCGGGCUCAACCUGGGAACUGCAUUUGUGACUGUAUAGCUAGAGUACGGCAGAGGGGGAUGGAAUUCCGCGUGUAGCAGUGAAAUGCGUAGAUAUGCGGAGGAACACCGAUGGCGAAGGCAAUCCCCUGGGCCUGUACUGACGCUCAUGCACGAAAGCGUGGGGAGCAAACAGGAUUAGAUACCCGGGUAGUCCCUGUCUCUUAUACA
rnacentral:rRNA from 1 species